rnacentral:rRNA from 1 species
UCGAGAAUUUUUCACAAUGGGCGAAAGCCUGAUGGAGCGACGCCGCGUGGGGGAUGAAUGGCUUCGGCCCGUAAACCCCUGUCAUUCGCGAGCAAACGUUAUUAUUUAAAAGAUGAUAGCCUGAUAGUAGCGAAAGAGGAAGGGACGGCUAAAUCUGUGCCAGCAGCCGCGGUAAUACAGAGGUCCCAAGCGUUGUUCGGAUUUACUGGGCGUAAAGGGGGCGUAGGUGGGGUGGUAAGUCGGAUGUGAAAUCUCCGAGCUCAACGCGGAAAGUGCAUUGGACACUACCCUGCUAGAGGGUUGGAGGGGGGACUGGAAUACUUGGUGUAGCAGUGAAAUGCGUAGAUAUCAAGUGGAACACCAGUGGCGAAGGCGAGUCCCUGGACAACUCCUGACACUGAGGCGCGAAAGCUAGGGGAGCA